GUAUGUUGGGGAGAUGGGCUGUUCUGUAGACCCUAAGUGUUGCUUUUAAAACAUGUUAAUUCGUCUGUUUUAUCAUGUUUAAAUAAAGGUCAUCCAUCCAUCCAUCCAUUCGUAUCUUAUUCUCGUUGAUGUUUCACUUAUUGCGCAACUGUACACACUUGCGUGACAGGCUUAGUUAUCGGAUUUCAUUGUGUAAGAGACGUACAUGUAGUUCUUUUCGAGGUCUCAUCGUUGCAACGCUACUUGUUCGCUACACGCUACCUUUUCCACCGCUACCCAUUGCCGCUAGGAGCCGGAAUAAAUGUAACUUUGUCAAGGGAUCUUUGAACAAGUUGAACCGCUGCAUCUUGAGGAACAGAACGAACGUCCACGCCAUUUAUCUGAAGAUUUGAGUUAAAAGGCAGUGAGAAUCAGAAACUUGGAUGACAUACCACGACUUGCUGGAGUGCCUUUUUCUCCACCAAUAGGAG